UACCUCUCGGGGUCGCACCUGGAGAGUGUCCAGUACGCUACCAGUCUUGGCUAUGGGAGGGAGAGUCAAGCGGAGGCCUGUCCAUUCCAUUCCUAGCUUGCCCAGUGGUUAGCGAGUGGCAGGCCAUCUGCUACGAGU